AUCUAAGUAGUUUAAUUAAAAAAAAUAUUAACUUGUGGCGUUGAAGAUAAAAUAUUUCUUAGAUU
rnacentral:tRNA from 1 species